rnacentral:rRNA from 1 species
AACGAACGCUGGCGGCAUGCCUAACACAUGCAAGUCGAACGACACCUCCGGGUCUGCUGGCUCAUACGGGCGGAACGUGUGGGAACCUUCCCGAAUGUUCGGAAUAAUUCUCCGUCAGGGGUGCUAACACCGGGUAAUGUCUGCUGACCAAGCAUUCAUCGUCUUUGGAUGGGCCGGCGUUGUUCUAGCUAGUUGGGAGGGUAAAAGCCUACCAAGGCUACGAUCGCUAGCUGGUCUGAGAGGAAGAUCGGCCACACUGAGGCUGAGCCACGGGCCGGACUCCUGCGCGAGGCAGCAGUGGGGAAUCUUGGCAAAUGGGGGAAAGGCUGAUGCCGCUAUGGCGCGUGAGUGAUGAAGGCCUUAGGGUUGUAAAGCUCUUUUACCCGGGGUGAUUAUGACGGUACCGGAAGAAUAAGCACCGGCUAACUUCGUG